AAAAAGCAUCUGGACCUGAUGGGAUAUUAAAUGAAAUGAUAAAACACACGAGCAGUAAAUUUCAAUUGGCCAUUCUAAAACUAUUCAAUGUGAUUCUGAGUGUAGGUUACUUCCCUGACAUCUGGAAUCAAGGCUUGAUCACACCAAUCUUUAAAAACUGAGAUAAAUUUGAUCCUAGCAACUACAGAGGCAUCUGUGUGAGCAGCAACCUGGGAAAGUUAUUCUGUAGCAUAAUAAAUGCUCGACUAUUAGACUUCAUCACCACACACAAUGUACUGAGCAGAAAUCAAAUUGGAUUUUUACCAAAUUACCGUACAUCUGACCACAUCUAUACAUUACAUACUCUAAUUGAAAAACAUGUUAACCAAGAUAAAGGUAAAAUAUAUAUGCAUGCUUUAUUGACUCUAAAAAAGCUUUUGACUCAAUUUGGCACCAAGGACUAUUUUACAAACUUAUCGAAAGUGGCAUAGGAGGUAAAACCUAUGACCUUAUCAAAUCAAUGUACACUGAAAGUAAAUGUGGUGUAAAAAUCGGCAACAAACGUACGAGGUAUAUUUCCCAAUAGCAUGGAGUGAGACAGGGCUGCUGCUUAAGCCCAACAUUAUUUAACAUUUACAUCAAUGAACUGGCGAGCAGUCUGGAGCGAUCUGCAGCCCCUGGCCUCACCCUACACAACUCACAGAUCAAAUGCCUGCUGUAUACAGACGAUCUGGUUCUGCUGUCCUCCACUCAGCAUGGUUUACAGCAAAACCUGGACCUGCUAGAACAACACUGCCAGACCUGGGCCCUGACAGUCAACCUGAAGAAGACCAAAAUCAUGAUCUUUCAGAAAAGAUCCAGAUCCCAGGGAACACAACACACAUUUACAUAAGGCACUAACCAGAUAACACACACAACACACUACAACUACCUGGGUUUGAAAAUCACAUCCACAGGAAACUUUAAUCAUGCAGUGCAUGAACUAAGAGAUAAAGCACGCAGGGCCUUCUACGCCAUAAAACAGCAAUGUCCUAUAGAAAUCCCUAUUAGAAUAUUAGAAUCAGUAACUGAGCUCAUUGCCCUCUAUGGCAGUGAGUGUGUGGUCCAUUGACAAAUCCAAAUCAAGAUUUCACCAAAAGGGAAAAACAUCCAAUUGAGACUCUGCAUUCAGAACUCUGUAAAAAUAUAAUACACAUGCGCACAACAAAUAACGCAUGCAGGGCAGAAUUAGGCAAAUAUCCUCUAAUCAUAAAGAUACAAAAAAGGGCAAUUAAAUUCUGGUAACAUCUGAAACUCAGUGACCCCCAAUCAUAUCAUUAUAAAGCCCUGCAACACCAAGAGAUGAGCAAAGAAAGCAGUACCCUCCCUCAGCUGAUCCAGAGCUUCAGUCCUGAUGCUUCACUAACAUCUACUGAUGCUCUGAAUCACAUCAGAAUCAAUCAGAUAACUGCACAAUUCAAACAGAACUACAUCUCUCACUGGCAAACCCAAACACAAAAACUAAAAUGCAAUGCUAUUUGGCUCUAAAGAGAGAGUACAGUAUGGCAGAGUAUCUGUAUUAUUUUAUUUCUAACUUAUACACUUACAUACACUAAUUCAUUUAGCACUACAUGCUUAAUACUUUUUAUAUAUUUAUAUUAUUACUAUUAUUCUUUUUCUUUCUGUUAAUACAUAUGCACACUAUUUGUAAGCAGCCCUGCAACUGCUUUGGCAAUACAAAUGUACAGUUUUUUGUCAAUAAAGCUCACCUAAAUUGAAAUUGAGUGUGUGUGUGUGUGUG
ensembl:lncRNA